AUUGAACGCUGGCGGAAUGCUUUACACAUGCAAGUCGAGCGGCAGCGCGGGGCAACCUGGCGGCGAGCGGCGAACGGGUGAGUAAUGCAUCGGAACAUGUCCAUGUCGUGGGGGAUAAGCCGGCGAAAGCCGGAUUAAUACCGCAUACGCUCGAGAGAGGAAAGCCGGGGACCGCAAGGCCUGGCGCGAUUGGGUUGGCCGAUGUCCGAUUAGCUAGUUGGUGAGGUAAAGGCUUACCAAGGCGAUGAUCGGUAGCUGGUCUGAGAGGAUGAUCAGCCACACUGGGACUGAGACACGGCCCAGACUCCUACGGGAGGCAGCAGUGGGGAAUUUUGGACAAUGGGGGCAACCCUGAUCCAGCCAUUCCGCGUGAGUGAAGAAGGCCUUCGGGUUGUAAAGCUCUUUUGUCCGGAGCGAAACGGGCGCGGCUAAUACCUGCGUCUACUGACGGUACCGGAAGAAUAAGCACCGGCUAACUACGUGCCAGCAGCCGCAGUAACAC
rnacentral:rRNA from 1 species